rnacentral:rRNA from 1 species
UACGGGGGGGGGCAAGCGUUGUUCGGAAUUACUGGGCGUAAAGGGCUCGUAGGCGGCCAACUAAGUCAGACGUGAAAUCCCUCGGCUUAACCGGGGAACUGCGUCUGAUACUGGAUGGCUUGAGUUUGGGAGAGGGAUGCGGAAUUCCAGGUGUAGCGGUGAAAUGCGUAGAUAUCUGGAGGAACACCGGUGGCGAAGGCGGCGAUCCUGGACCAACACUGACGCUGAGUGAGCGAAAGCCAGGGGGAGCAAAACGAG